CCCAGCGGUCAGACCUGGUUCUGGUUCUGCUGUAAGUCUGAACUUUAUGUUUGGACCUGGUUUUUAAAGUCUGGAUUUGGAUUAGUCUGGAUUCUGUGUCUCUGAAGUCUGGAUUAGAAAGGACUCUGAUUGUGUGGGAUUUGCAUUUGUGUCUUUAAACCUUGCCUGGAUUUGGUUCUGUCUCUACUCUGGACUGGAUUAGUCCUGGUUCUGUCUCUACUCUGGACUGGAUUAGUCCUGGUUCUGUCUCUACUCUGGACUGGAUUAGUCCUGGUUCUGUCUCUAUAACUCUGGACUGGAUUAGUCCUGGUUCUGUCUAUAAGGUAGGGUGAGACUUAGAUUCCCUGCAGUCUGGAUCAGGCUCAUGGUUCUGGUCUGGGGUUCUGAUCAGAUGGACAGGUGGAGCUGCAGGAUUUGAACCGACGACCCGCUCUGCCGCCAUGCACACGAUCCACCGUCUGUGUCGCGCCUGCAUCGAACAGAACCUGCCGCAGGUGAGCAUUGAUCGAGGAAACGAUGGAUUUGGAUUCACGAUCUGCUCCGACUGUCCAGUCCGAGUCCAGGCUGUCGACGCUGGCGGCCCGGCUCAUCAGUCUGGUCUCCGCCAGGGAGACUCGGUCCUGCAGCUGAACGGACUUCCUGUAGAAACCUGGAAGUGUGUCGACCUCGCCCACGCCAUUAGGUAACCACGGCAACUCCUGUUACCUCUUUUAUAUUUUAUAUUUAGUUUACUUUAACUUUAUUUGGAAGAACAAUCCACCUGCUGACUGUGUGUGUGUGUGUGUGUGUGUGUGUGUGUGUGUAUGUGUGCGUUUCUGUAGGAGUAGUUUGUCUCAGAUUGUGUUAGUGGUGUGGAGAGGUUUACCUGAGCUCCGGCCGACACACAGCCAGACGACAGGCAGGAAGCUGCUGCCUCCCCCCGCCCACAGUAAACAUGGCCGUCGGCGGGGCCAGGGCUCGGGGGUGCGGUCCAGUUUUGGGGCUCUGGGGUCUCUGUGGAGGGACAGGAAGGAGGAGCAGGAGCAGGAAGAGGAGGAGGAGGAGUACCCGCCUCGCUCCACCACGCUCACCCGUGUGACAUCAUCACAAGGAGACAAUUACAUCAUCCUGUCACCUGUCAACCCCAGAGGACAGCUGCUGCAGACGGUUUACCACGACAGGAACGCCACGAUUGGUGAGAAGUCCCCUGACUGAUGAUCAACAGUCCCACUGACUGUUGAUCAUCAGUCCCACUGACUGUUG
rnacentral:lncRNA from 1 species